rnacentral:lncRNA from 1 species
AGGGAGGCCGGGAGGGGUCCCUGGGCGGGGAGUUGCUGCGCAUCUGUUGUGUGUGUGCGUCUGUCUGUCUGUUCAGGUCUGUUUUAGGCUGUGUCUGCCUGUCUCUCUGUCUGGGUCUCUUUCAGGCUGCGUCGGUCUGUCUGUCUGGGUCUGUUUCAGGCUGUGUCUGUCUGUCUGUCUGGGUCUGUUUCAGGCUGUGUCUGUCUGUCUGUCCGGGUCUGUUUCAGGCUGUCUGUCUGUCUGUCUGGGUCUGUUUCAGGCUGUGUCUGUCUGUCUGUUUGUCUGGGUCUGUUUCAGGCUGUGUCUGUCUGUCCGGGUCUGUUUCAGGCUGUAUGUGUGUCUGCUCUUUGCUUCUGCUCCUGGCUCUGUGUGUAUUUCCCGGGUCCUGUGGCCC